rfam:Populus trichocarpa scaffold_5_contig_132, whole genome shotgun sequence.
AUGGAAGUGACGAUUAUUUCCCCAAAUGAGCGAAGCUGAAUAAACUGAGUGAUCUUUCUCUUUUUAGAGAAUCCAAGCCAGAAAUCUGAUCCAU